UGGUUACAAUAGCAGAGAGGAUACACCUGUUCCCAUUCCGAACACAGAAGUUAAGCUCUCUAGCGCUGAUGGUACUUGGUGGGAAACUGCC
rnacentral:rRNA from 1 species